ACCCGAAAGUGUGAUAGGGUUAUCCCGAGUGCCGUCCGAUGAGGAUGGCUUUUACUUGGUGUAAGGAGCCAGGGGAAUAAAGGGGGGGCAAGACUGGUGUCAGCCGCCGCGGUAAUACCAGCCCCCUGAGUGGUAGGGAUGAUUAUUUGGCCUAAAGCGUCCGUAGCCGGCUUAGCAAGCCUUUCGUUAAAUCCGAUGACUUAAUCAUUGGGCUGCGAGAGAUACUUCUAGGCUUGAGGACGGGAGAGGUCGACGGUAUUUCGGGGGUAGGGGUAAAAUCCUAUAAUCCUCGGAGGACCACCAGUGGCGAAGGCGGUCGACUAGAACGUGCCUGACGGUGAUGGACGAAAGCUGGGGGAGCAAACCGGAUUAGACACCCGGGUAGUCCCAGCUGUAAACGAUGCGGGCUAGGUGUUGGGGCAGCUACGAGCUGCUCCAGUGCCGCAGAGAAGUCAUUAAGCCCGCCGCCUGGGAAGUACGACCCGAAAGUACCCGAAAGUACCCGAAAGUACCCGAAAGUCA
rnacentral:rRNA from 1 species